rnacentral:rRNA from 1 species
UACGUAGGGACCGAGCGUUGUCCGGAAUCAUUGGGCGUAAAGAGCGUGUAGGCGGCUAUUUAAGUCCUGCGUGAAAUCCUGCGGCUCAACCGCAGACGGUCGUGGGAAACUGGAUGGCUAGAGUGCGGGAGAGGAGAGUGGAAUUCCCGGUGUAGCGGUGAAAUGCGCAGAUAUCGGGAGGAACACCAGUGGCGAAGGCGGCUUCCUGGCCUGUAACUGACGCUGAGACGCGAAAGCGUGGGGAGCGAACCGG